GCCUCCAACCCGAGCUAACCUGGAAACUCUAGAAAACAUGGGAAAGAAGAGGGGGGUAAGCUUUCGCUUAGUAAGUUCAUAUGAAAACAAUAUGCAACUCAUUAACUUGUUUUAUCAAUGUUUACAACAUAUUCUCAAGUUCACUACAAGCUGUCUUUCUGAGCAACGGUCACUAAAUUAUUUAUAUCUAGAGCUAAGAAACUCUGAAUUAAGUUCCGUUAAUUUUCCCUGAAACUAGACUUAUUUUCAUUUCUUCCAUAAAAUUUCCAGAAUUUUUUAGUUAAGAAAAAUACUACAGUUUAUUCCUCAAAGUUACCAUUUAUUCACUGUCUGACAGUUCCGACCCUUCUGUACUAAAGUUCAAUUAUCUCAUAGUACAAGACUCGAAUAAUGUUCUCGUCUAUUUCUCUUGAAACUAGACUCAUAUUUCUACUUACUAAUUUUUUUCUAGAAUUUUUUGUUGUGCCAAUUAGUACAGUUUAUUAGUUAAAGUCUCCCCUGUUUCAGGGUAUGACCACUCUGACCCCUGUGCACUACAAACCGAAUUUAUCCCUGUAAAAAAUUCCAACGACCAUACCAUUUAUUUACCCUAAAAAUAGACUCAAUAAGGAAUCUAUGCAUGUAAGGUAUGACUCUUAAUAAUUUUUUUUACAAUUUUUUUUGAAUUUCUAAAUUCAGAACAGAGGAUCUCGAAUUCAUUCAGACCCUGUUUCACAAGAAUUCAAAUAUCACACAAUAUGGAAUUCUUUUUCUUCCCCUGUUUCUUUCAUGUGAAAAUAGACUCAUUAAGAUUUAAUCCCAUAUUUUAUUCUGCCUCUAACUCAUUUUCCACUAUUUUUAGUGUAUUUUCAAAGUUACACUACUGCAGUAACUCAAAUCUGUCAAGGCUAAAUUACUCAUUCAUGAUCAUUAUUCACAAAAUUAAUACAACAUCGUUUGUAUAAUCAUCACCGAGACAUUCAUAUCACAUUUUCAUUUACCAUCUUACCAUAUUGUUGUUAUGUCGAGUUUUCAACCCGAGGGUUAAGUACAUACCUGUUCAAAGUAUCCAUUUCACAACAUUUACCAAUACGUCCCUUUCAUCUUGAGUAUUCCUCCAUUUGAGUAGAAUUUUACCCGUUGAACACAUCGGAAUAUAAUUCGGAUAUAUGGAAAGUUUGCACAUAAGUGCCACAUAUGUAGCCAAGCUACCAUGUAACCCGCCCAUAAGUGAACUCGGACUCAACUCAACGAGCUCGAGCGUUCGUAUCCAUAAGUGAACUCGGACUCAACUCACGAGCUCGAAUGCCUAGUUACAUCUCACGAACUCGGACUCAACUCAACGAGUUCGAACAUUCGCAUCCAUAAGUGAACUCGGACUCAACUCAACGAGUUCGGAUGCUAAACCAUCCUAGUGACAUGUCACUUGUAUCCUAAUCUAUUCCUAAGGUUCAAACGGGAUUUUUCUCGAACACAUAUCCUUGCCAUCUUCCGUAAAAUACCGAAACCAAUACUCGGUAGCACUUUAUAUUUAACAGAUAAUACACAUAACUUGCAUUUUAUUCGAAAAUAACCACAAAGCAUAUAUUUCAUGAUAAAAAUCAGCAUAUCAUAUAUUUAACAUCAAUAACUUAAAAAUAAAAAUUAUGCUACAUUAUUUACACAUGAACUUACCUCGAUACCACAAAAGUGAAAAAAAAAGACGUAAUUAUCCCUUAAUCGAUUUCUUUCCGUUCUAGGUCCAAAUCUUGAUUUUCAUCAUCUAAAAUAUCACAUUCAACUUAUUAAAACAAUGUACUGAUCAAAUUAGUCCAUUGACACACUUGGGCAAUUUUUACAAUUUUGCCCCUAUAUUUUGCCAAAAUUACCAAAUUACCCCUAGGCUCGCAAAAUAAUUUUUAUCACAUUUCUUUACUCCUUGAGUCUAGAUGAACCAUUUUCAUAACUAUAGCAACUCAUAAUUUCAACUAUUUCACACAUUUACAACUCAUUUUACAACUUAGCAAUUUAGCCCUUUUUAAGGUGUUUUCAUGCAAUUUCUUUCACAAAAGUUGUUUAUUAGACAACUAGGACUCAUAAUCUUCCAUAAAAACACAGCAAACAACACAUUUACUCUCAUGGAAAAACCCUACACUCUUCAUCAUUUUGCAAAAUAGUCCUCUCUUAUGAAAGCUCAUGCUUUAGGGGUUCCAAAAAUGUAAAAAUCAUCAAACAAAGACAUUAAAAUCACUUAC
rnacentral:lncRNA from 1 species